ensembl:lncRNA
CUCAACGGGACUACGGGAAUGACUACUGAAGACCAUUCUCUCUGCUCUCCUCCUCUCCUCCUCCUCCUCCUCCUCCUCCUCCCCUUCUACUCCUCAAGCCCCUGACCUACCCCCCCGCCCCCGCCCGCCCCCCCUCCCCCUCGCCCCAUCCCUCCCUCGCCCAACCUCUCUCCAUAAAAGACUUGCAUGGGAAGGAGCUUAAUGGAUUCCCCCAAAAAAACUCAAACCUUCACAAAGCAACACUUGAUGACAUGAUGGAGGACCAUCAUGUCUCUAACUCGACCCUGCGUUUAACCCCUUCCAGCUCCACACAAAAGCUGCAGUGUGGUAAACAUUUUCCCGCCAAAAAAGCCUUUCAUCCUGAAGCUCAAACCCUAUUAGCAUUAGCGACUUGGAGAAGAGCAAAACCCGAGGCACUAAGUGGUCCUUGUCGUUGUAGAAGCUUGAGACCGUUUAAACGACAGCCAGGCCCCGGCACCACUUGCGCAUUGGUGUACAUGAAAUGACUCCCUCUAUAGGUCAAACACUUGCUAUUGCAUGGAGAACUCAUUAUCGGCUGAUACGUUAACCCUGUCUCCUGCUGAUGAGGCGUUGAUGCGACACACCUGUCGUCCGCUGAUUGAACUAAAGGGCGGGGUCAGGGGGUUCGGUUCUCCUAAUAUCCUACAUCAAUCAAGAGGACACCAUCUGUUUCAUGAAGCGUCUCAUAUUUGCCGUCCCCUCAAGGCACCGAUAUUAAGCACUACAGGCUGAGAAGGACCUAUCGCCUCCUCUCAGAGCAGAAGGUUUGGGAAGAUGCCGCAGGAUACUGAUCACCAGGCUGAGGCUGAACAGGCACACCGAAAGAUGUAUGCUCUUUGUUCUGCUCCACAAAGUGGGUGUAGUGCUGUGCUCAUUCAGAAAAUUAAUAAAAGUGGGAGAAGCACACAAGACGGAUUGGCAGUGACGCCCUGAAUGUUAUUUGGCAAUUUUAAACUCGAUCCAUUCAUUAGCACAUCGCAGACCCCGUCUCGUGUAAAUAUUCAUCAGCUCUUUCGAAGCCUUGUUGUGCAUAAUCAAACCGAGGGCUCUUGAAGUCCUUCUGUCGUCAAGAACCCAAGAACCCGCGUUCAAUGUUCUCUGUAGACCAGUAGGGAGACUCCGCGACGUGAAAAGAAAACCGAAGGGCAAAUGUUUGCCUAAAGCAAAAGAAGAAAGGGCCUGCUUAAUGAACUAUUCCCCAUCCAAAGCGAAUUUCCCCAUUCCCCCAUUGCACUCAUUCUUCUCAAGGCUCCUGUUCAGUCCUGUUGUCUUAACAUUCAGUCUGCUUGCUGUCUGCCUUUGUCAUUCAUGCCGGGUAACUCUAAUCCCUGUAAUGAUCUUCGGCUCCGUCCAAGUGGUGGUGUUGGUGGAGGGGUGAUGGUGCUUGUAUUCUCAACUCAACACCGUGAUUGAAGUGAGCCACGCGGCUGCACUCUGUCCUUGGAGUGGGCAUCAGGAGACAGACAGCUCCGCUGAUCUGUGUCUGGAAAACAAUGUCUAGAACCCAGAGACCUAACCCAGUACAUCCCUCCCCCCCAU